UGGGGAAUUUUGGACAAUGGGGGAAACCCUGAUCCAGCCAUCCCGCGUGUGCGAUGAAGGCCUUCGGGUUGUAAAGCACUUUUGGCAGGAAAGAAACGUCGCGGGUUAAUACCCCGCGAAACUGACGGUACCUGCAGAAUAAGCACCGGCUAACUACGUGCCAGCAGCCGCGGUAAUACGUAGGGUGCAAGCGUUAAUCGGAAUUACUGGGCGUAAAGCGUGCGCAGGCGGUUCGGAAAGAAAGAUGUGAAAUCCCAGAGCUUAACUUUGGAACUGCAUUUUUAACUACCGGGCUAGAGUGUGUCAGAGGGAGGUGGAAUUCCGCGUGUAGCAGUGAAAUGCGUAGAUAUGCGGAGGAACACCGAUGGCGAAGGCAGCCUCCUGGGAUAACACUGACGCUCAUGCACGAAAAGCGUGGGGAGCAAACAGGAUUAGAUACCCUGGUAGUCCACGCCCUAAACGAUGUCAACUAGCUGUUGGGGGCCUUCGGGCCUUGGUAGCGCAGCUAACGCGUGAAGUUGACCGCCUGGGGAGUACGGUCGCAAGAUU
rnacentral:rRNA from 1 species